UUUCCGUAGGUGAACCUGCGGAAGGAUCAUUACCGAGUACGGGUGCCUAUUCCCCUGCCGGGGGGUAGGGGCCCAGACCUCCCACCCUUGUCGAUUGUACCGUGUUGCUUCGGCGGGCCCGCCAGCUCUGGCCGCCGGGGGGUUCGCAAGCGCUGCCCCCGGGCCCGUGCCCGCCGGAGACCUUCCUUAAAAUGCUACUGCGGUCAGGAAUGCUGUCUGAGUGGUGAGAAAUUGAUCAAAAAAACUUUCAACAAUGGAUCUCUUGGUUCCG
rnacentral:misc_RNA from 1 species